rnacentral:rRNA from 1 species
AGGAUAAACGCUGGCGGCGUGCCUAAUGCAUGCAAGUCGAACGGGGUAGUCUUUCGGGACUAUCGAGUGGCGGACGGGUGAGGAACACGUACGAGACCUGCCCUUGGAUGGGGAAUAACCCUCCGAAAGGGGGGCUAAUGCCGCAUACGGUCCCAGGCAGCAAGGCUUGGGAGGAAAGCCCGAGAGGGCGUCCGAGGAGGGGCGUGCGGCCGAUUAGCUAGUUGGCGGGGUAAUGGCCCACCAAGGCGAUGAUCGGUA